UACGAAGGGGGCUAGCGUUGCUCGGAAUUACUGGGCGUAAAGCGCACGUAGGCGGCUUCUUAAGUCGGUGGUGAAAUCCUGGAGCUCAACUCCAGAACUGCCUUCGAUACUGGGAAGCUCGAGUCCGGGAGAGGUGAGUGGAACUGCGAGUGUAGAGGUGAAAUUCGUAGAUAUUCGCAAGAACACCAGUGGCGAAGGCGGCUCACUGGCCCGGUACUGACGCUGAGGUGGCGGAAAGCGUGGGGAGCCAAACAGGG
rnacentral:rRNA from 1 species